rnacentral:rRNA from 1 species
GACGAACGCUGGCGGCGUGCUUAACACAUGCAAGUCGAACGGAAAGGCCCUGCUUUUGUGGGGUGCUCGAGUGGCGAACGGGUGAGUAACACGUGAGUAACCUGCCCUUGACUUUGGGAUAACUUCAGGAAACUGGGGCUAAUACCGGAUAGGAGCUCCUGCUGCAUGGUGGGGGUUGGAAAGUUUCGGCGGUUGGGGAUGGACUCGCGGCUUAUCAGCUUGUUGGUGGGGUAGUGGCUUACCAAGGCUUUGACGGGUAGCCGGCCUGAGAGGGGGACCGGCCACAUUGGGACUGAGAUACGGCCCAGACUCCUACGGGAGGCAGCAGUGGGGAAUAUGGCACAAUGGGCGGAAGCCUGAUGCAGCAACGCCGCGUGCGGGAUGACGGCCUUCGGGUUGUAAACCGCUUUCGCCUGUGACGAAGCGUGAGUGACGGUAAUGGGUAAAGAAGCACCGGCUAACUACGUG